UUCUCCAUGGGAGAAAAGGAAAAGGGUCUGCCCGAGAAGUCUUCAUCCUUGAGCAAUAGGAAAGAUGGCAUCCAAAUAAUAUCUGGGGAAAAAAAAAUGCUUAAGCAAAGCAUCUGAUGCUACUUCAGCGGGGAAUUCUCCAGCCAACUGGGUUAUAUUCCCUCAGCUACUGGUGAUCCUGAUUCCAUGUCGCUGUUCUCAAACUCGGCUAUAAAUCCCGGGCUAGUCUGGCAAAAAUUAACAAACAAUUUCAAAGACAUUUCCCAGUCAGUCUCUUCGUGUCGUGAUCUGCAGAAAAUAUGGCCUCACUCAAGGCUGAAAAACCGUCGGCUGCGCCUGCUCAGGCCAAGCAAGAGCCUCCCAAGGGGAGCUCCACCCCAAAGGCGGCCACCAAGGCCACCCCCAAGAAGGCUGAGCCGAAGCCCGCUCAGCCUAGGAGGAAGGCAUCCGGUGGCAAGAAAUAGAGAUGAACGCACGACAAGGGCGGUGUAGUUCCAGAACGAACAUUUGCCCAUGAAGCUUACAGAUCGAUUUUGCUCUUCAAUAAAUGCUUUUACCAGUGCUCGUGUGUGUCUUCUUUGAUCACGAGAUUGUAUGUCAUAUGUUUUCUCGUCUUUCGAGCUUUGUGUGAUGAAUAAAAUUACAUAGUGAAUCAUGAAUGAUGCGUGCAAUCUUAUUUCAUUUUCUCCAUAAUAUACUAUGUGAUCAAGCGAAAGGUCACCAGAAUAAAAUCCAUAAGGGCUUUUCAUUAUGGAUUUGGCCUUACUCUGUAUAUAAAUCUUAACUUCUUUAUAUAUACAUCUACCGUAAGACAAGAUGCCAAACUGAGAAAUAUGGAACAGAGGAUUUAACGUAACUAAACACCAGAUUCAUGGGACCUUCAAGAGCAUACGAAAACAACUGUUGGUUUUGACGGAAUCCAUGUGGUAUGAGUGUAAACCCGCAGAACUCAGCAUUUUCAGGCAGGACUCGUUAUAACCACUGGUUGAUGUUGAUCAAGGCCACUCUUGCAUCACACAGCGUUAUGUACGUUAGCAGCUAUAGAAUCAUGGUCUUGGCGAAGGGGACCAUGGAGUCGUUGAAGGAGUUUGGCCAGGGAGAGCCCAGGAAGGUGCUGGUGACCAACGACUUCCACCGACCCCGCCUCUCUGUUUUCUGACCUUUACCUGCAUGGCACCAGAUCACCAGGUGCAUGGGUAAUUAAUGUUCUCUUUUAUCUGAUGAAAAAAUCGGUCGUACAAGGGGACUGAUCGUUACAUACCGGAUGCUCCUAGACAAUGGAAAAUGAGUAGGCAAUUCACAAUCAGGAGAAAACGAAUGACAAGAGACCGAAACUCGGCCAUUUUCUUUCCUCUAUGCUUUCUUCUUCUCGGGGUUUAGAGACAGGAGGGACUUCAGUAUUUAUAGUGGAAAACUAGGGAAAGGGACCAGGAAAAUAGAGUAAAAAAUGCUGGAAAAACCAUGAAAAUAAUUUCCAAUAUAUGUAUGAUGCUUCCAAUCAAAGUCGUAAAGUACGUGCAGGUGUCAAAGGGGGAACUUCUGGUGAGUUUACUUGCAAAAUGUUUCUUAUUCUUGUGAUCCAAGUUUUCGAUUGACUUCUUCUUCCUCAGUCAAUACCUAUACAUUCCCAGGAUUGAGAUCAGUAUCACAAUCACGAGUUGGUUAUUGAUCCACCUUAAUUCUACUGGUAGAACGAAUGACUCAAUUGGUUAUUUUUGGUUUAUUAAACAUUUGGGUUGAACUCCAAUAAGGAGCGCCCGUGGUCAAAAAGAUGGAUAUCUAUAGGGGGCAACCGCAAAGUAGCGUGUUGCGGUGUGUCAGUCGGAAUUUUGAUGACGAUUUCUAUUAUAUAUCUAGUAAUAUAUAAAUUUCUUUAUCAUAAGUACUUUCUAAACAAGUUGCUUUUUAUUAAAAUAAUACUUUAAAAACAGCAAAAGUCUCACUACUUUCUCAAGGCCUCCUAGAAACUGUAAUCUUUAGGAAUUUAUUAUACACUCUUUUCCUUGAUCCUAUUAGCAUUUACAGUAAGAUAAAUCACAAUUAACAACCGAGAUUCGUUGCUUUCUUGCAGAUAAUUUCAGUGACUCGAGAUGGCAUCGUUGUUUCUGACUGCCAACUAGCCAGUCUUGUUGUGGUUUAUUGACAUUUUCUGAGGUGGUGGAACGGUAGGAACUUUAUAAGCAGGAUGCUGCUUCCACUGGCCAUCGGGGCUUCCCGGAAGUCCACAAACCGCUGACCUACAGUAAUGGGAUUUUGUAUCUGCACAGCAACAAAGUAACAUCCUCGUUAACUUAUCAGCUCCUUCACGAGAUGCGACAUUAUAUCCAAUGUUCUGGCCACAAAGCCGAUACAAACUCUAGUACCAAGAGGCAUGUCAACUACUGAGCACAUACAUCAGGGAAGUCUCAUCUUUGCUCAUGGGUCACAGACAAUGCCCCAUACCAUUUAUGCAUUUAAGGGAAGAGUGGAAGUGCAACUGUAUGUUGGCCCUAAACAUCGAUGGAGAUGCUGUAAGUCCACAACCACUCUGCCGAAUCCUUUAGGUUGUUGUCUGAAGGGGAUUUCGAAAAUCCUUAUCUUGCGUCUGGAGACGGCCGAAUAGGAUCUUUAUCUAGGUUCAAUUGGACAAUAACAAAUCCUGGUAUGCUUAUAGGAUAAGGAGGGUAAGGAUUUGAGAAAUUCUUGCACAUACAAGAAGUACACCUAACCUUUUUCUGUUGAUUAGAAUAUUCUUAAGCCCCGGCAUCUCUCUAGCUAUUUGACAACGAGCCCUACCUCACCAAAGACCUCCCAUUGAUGCAGAAAUCAUGUCCGAGACAGGAUCGUGAUGGCAAAGUACUCAGUGGAAGCUUUGGCCGCCUUCUUUAAGUAAAGAGAUUCGAAGAUGAACUGCAGGAUGCAUUAAUUAGUUUCCGGCAAGCUAGUCGUUGUCGUCGAUGACAUUGACUUCGACGGUCUUCUCAGGUUACCCGCCCCUGCCUGCGGAAACUUUCGACACUUCACAAGUCUCGCCCUGACACGACGCUUAAGGCAAAGGUUAUUAGAAGUUGUGGUCCAUGACAUCGACUUUGACGGUCUCCUCAGAUUACCGGCCCUGCCUGGGGAGACUUUCAACACUUCACAAGUCUCGUCCGGACACCAAGCUUACGGCAAAGAUUAUUAGAAACGACGACCAGAUUGGCGAGUAUUACCCAACCGAGUGGCUGAGUAACAUCUAAUAAGAAUGCAUGUAAGUGAUAAAAAAGGCUUGCAGUGGCUGGGGUUCCGGUGAGAGGAUGCGGCGGCUAGGGUUUUCGGGAGAAGGCAGCAGAGUCGGGUUAGGAAGAUGAAGUCCAGCCGACCCGAUUCUGCCUUGGAUCGCACCCGAUUAGCUUCGACCCGACCAGGAUCAGACUUCGCCCACCCGAUCCAUCCAGUUUCGGCCCGACCUGUUUUAGUAAACUGGGCUGGGCUGGGCUCAAGCCCAUUAAGUCAAAUCUAAGCCCAGUUUGACCGGUUGGGCUAUUCUGACCGGUCUGGUCAGUUCUAACUGGUUCGAUUAUUUUUUGGUCCGGUCUGAUGCUAUGUAGUGUAGUUUUAAGGAUAUAGGAGUAGCCAAAGCACCCUAUAUAAGGCAAAUCGCAUAAUAAUUAAAAUAUGGUUA